UACGGAAGGCGGCAGUGGGGAAUAUUGCACAAUGGGCGAAAGCCUGAUGCAGCUAUGCCGCGUGUAUGAAGAAGGCCUUAGGGUUGUAAAGUACUUUCAUCGGGGAGGAAAAAACAAAACUAAUAAUUUUAUUUCUUGACGUUACCCGAAAAAGAAGCACCGGCUAACUCCGUGCCAGCAGCCGCGGUAAUACGGAGGGUGCUAGCGUUAAUCAGAAUUACUGGGCGUAAAGAGCACGUAGGUGGUUUUUUUAAAGUCAGAUGUGAAAUCCCUGGGCUUAACCUGGAACUGCAUUUUGAAACUGAAAUACUAGAGUAUCGUAGAGGGAGGUAGAAUUCUAGGUGUAGCGGUGAAAUGCGUAGAUAUCUGGAGGAAUACCUGUGGCGAAAGCGGCCUCCUAAACGAAUACUGACACUGAGGGUGCGAAAGCGUGGGGAGCAAACAGGGAUUAGAUACC
rnacentral:rRNA from 1 species